GAUGAACGCUAGCGGCAGGCCUAACACAUGCAAGUCGAGGGGCAGCACGUCUUCGGAUGGUGGCGACCGGCGCACGGGUGCGUAACGCGUAUGCAACCUACCUCUUACAGUGGGAUAGCCCAGAGAAAUUUGGAUUAAUACCGCAUAGUAUGCGACAUCAGCAUUGAUGACGUAUUAAACAUUCAUGGGUAAGAGAUGGGCAUGCGUUCUAUUAGUUAGUUGGAGUGGUAACGGCACCCCAAGACAGCGAUAGAUAGGGCCCGUCGAGAGGGGGAGUCCCCCACCACUGGUACGUGAGACACGAACCAGACUCCUACGGGAGGGCAGCAGUGAGGAAUAUUGGAC
rnacentral:rRNA from 1 species